AACGAACGCUGGCGGCGCGUCUUAAACAUGCAAGUCGAACGAGAACCCUAGUGCUUGCAUUGGGGGGAAAGUGGCGAACGGGUGAGUAACACGUGGAUAAUCUACCUCUAGGAUGGGGACAACUUCUCGAAAGAGAGGCUAAUACCGAAUAAUAUGGUGGCUACAUAAGUAGCAAUCAUUAAAGGUGGGGACCUUCGGGCCCACUACCCGGAGAUGAGUCUGCGGCCCAUUAGUUUGUUGGUGGGGUAAUGGCCUACCAAGACUACGAUGGGUAGCCGGCCUGAGAGGGUGAACGGCCACAUUGGUACUGAUACACGGACCAGACUCCUACGGGAGGCAGCAGUUAAGAAUCUUGCGCAAUGAGCGAAAGCUUGACGCAGCGACGCCGCGUGGAUGAUUAAGGCCUUCGGGUUGUAAAAUCCAAUAAGCAGGGAAGAAUAAUUCUCAGGUAAUAUUUGAGAAGAUGACGUACCUGCUAAAGCCCCGCUAA
rnacentral:rRNA from 1 species